rnacentral:rRNA from 1 species
CCUACGGGUGGCAGCAGUGGGGAAUAUUGGGCAAUGGGCGCAAGCCUGACCCAGCAACGCCGCGUGAAGGAAGAAGGCUUUCGGGUUGUAAACUUCUUUUCUCAGGGACGAAGCAAGUGACGGUCCCUGAGGAAUAAGCCACGGCUAACUACGUGCCAGCAGCCGCGGUAAUACGUAGGUGGCAAGCGUUAUCCGGAUUUACUGGGUGUAAAGGGCGUGUAGGCGGGGACGUAAGUCAGAUGUGAAAACCACGGGCUCAACCGUUGGCCUGCAGUUGAAACUGGGUUUCUUGAGUACUGGCAGGGCAGACGGAAUUCCUGGGGUAGCGGUGAAAUGCGUAGAUAUUAGGAGGAACAACAGUGGCGAAGGCGGGCGGCCGGACAGCAACUGACGCUGAGGCGCGAAAGCGUGGGGAGCAAACAGGAUUAGAUACCCCUGUAGUC